AUUUCAACCAAUCUGAAUGCGCAUAAACAGGCAACCAUGGAGGGGUCUUUAGUUCUAUGCCCAUCACCGAUUAUAGGCCACAUAAUAUCCAUGGUAGAGCUUGGCAAGAUCAUACUCCCUUUUCAUUCAUAUACUCGUUGUCUUCGCCCCUCGCAGUGUCGAUCCACUGUCUCUUAUUUGCUCGAAAUGUUGCUUAUGUAUCUGUUGGCAACGAGCUGAAUGUAUUAUUGCAUAUUUACUAAUGCCCCGAUUGAUCAAAGCCUCAUGAUGGAUUUCUUUGUUGAAAAUUUAUUAUUAUGGUUUCAUUUUAACUUUUUAUGUUUUGAUUGUUGAAUACUAAUUCUUAGAGGUUUAAUUGUGAUCGCAUUUAUACUACAAAUCUUGGCGCAAGUGCCGGAACAUGAUUGCUUUCUCACAUCACCCUCAACACACAUGGUUGCAGGUGUGUCUUCUAUACUCAUGGGAGUGAUGGGCUCUCAUUUCUUGACGUCGAAAAAGAUAUUUCCUGCAGAUGUUGUAUCUCUGUUCGUUGGUAAUGAUUGAUGGCUACAUUCAUGGAGUUCUGUGAAUUUACUGCAAAUGUUUAAUAGUUGAGGGACUUAUUAGGAUAGAAAAAAAUUUUAAGGGCUUUUUUACCAGAAAAAGGCUUUUGGCUAAAUUAAUAAAUGUUCAUGUGGUGGAGGCCCUCGUAUUCAGAAAAGGAACUCUCUGCAACUGAAAUCCUAAACCCCUUCACUGUAAUCUCUCAAGCAAUGAGCCCCAACGAUUCACCUAUUCAAAACCAUGAACAUGAACAGCCUCAACUCUCCAAUCCUGAAUCAACGGGCUCCAACGGUGGCGAUAACCGGGGGGAGAAGCGAAAGCGAGAGGAGACAGCGCAAUCAGAAAUGGAAGAAAAAGUUGACCCUUCACUUAAUCCGUACUAUAAAACCUCCCUCUGUUCGUAUUUCAGGCGGCGCUCGGGAUCCUGCUGCCACGGCAUUAAGUGCAGGUACGCGCACGGCGAGGACGAGCUCCGUCCUCGGCCUGAUAACACUUGGGACCCAACCUCCGAGCGGGCGAAAAAAGCGAUGAAAUUGGAGGAUAAUGGUGAUAAAUGUGAGGAGAGGAAAGCGGAGGAGGUUAUGAUGACUGAAUGGCUUGUUGAUGUUGGUGAGGGUGGUGAAGGUGAGUGUUUGGAUCCAGGGCGUAGUAAGUGCUUGGUACAUCUACCCAGGAAGUGGACUUCGGAUAACCUGAGGAGCUUUCUCAAUGAGCAAGGUGUUUUCUUCAAAAUGGCAAAGAAAAAGAAAGGCGUGGUUGUAGGUUUUGUGACUUUUGACACAGCUGACCAAUUGAAAAUAGCAAGUGAGGAGCUGGAAGGAAGAACUAUUGGCAACAAGAAAAUGAAGGUUGCUGAUGUGGUCCUCCGAUCACAUGACAAGAAAAUAAAAUCUGCCAUGGCCGGUGACAUUGACAAUUCAAGUACCAAGGCAAAAAGUGCCCGUGAUAUAGUGACUCCCCUUGCUCAUAUGCCAUAUGAAGAGCAGUUGGAGCACAAGAAGAACUCUAUUAUGCAAAUGCUAAAAAAACUUCUUAGAAACACUUACUCCUUUAUUAUUUUAUAAUUUCAAAAUACCAUAUCUUGGAUUCUGACAUCUUAGCAAACUGAACUUUUACAUUUUUAUCACAGGCUAGAAAUGCACGUAAAGCAUGUCCAAAUGGCAUUUCUUUGCCUGAAUGGGUUCUCAAGUCCAGGGAAAUAGGUUGUAUUUCCAUUCUAAAUUUCCAAAAGCCAUCAUUCCAGAAUCCGGGGAGCUACUCUGUUUGUUAUAACAAUAUUUUCCUGAUAGUUCAAGGAGGCGUUUGCUUAUGAAAUUUUUGCUUCAAAACAUUUUUACUUGCUUUUGUUUCUUUUGCUUCCAUUCUAAUUCAAUACUGUAUGAGAUUGUCAGGGACUCUGAUGACUCCUUUUUUAUUAUUAUUAUUUUUGUAAUCUAUUUUUUAAAAUUUCAUAGGUGGUCUUGCCUGCAAACUUGAGGGUAUACUGGAAUCACCACUUGUGAAUGGUUACUGUAAUAAAUGCAAGUUUUCAGUGGGAUACUCUCUUGAGGGAAAACCUAUUGUUGGGUUUAUGCUAGGAAAUUUUAGGUAAUUUUUUCUCCCUCUCUCCGUGUCACGGAUGAGGCUUUGCCCACCAUCACUAUUGUUGUUGAAAACUUAGCACAAUAUAUUCAGAGAUGGGGUGACAGCUGUAGAAGAACCUGUUGACUGCCCAAAUGUUUCUAGUAUUGCUUGCGUGUAUGCUUCCAUUUUUCAGGAAUUUUUGCAACAAUCAGGCUUGCUAAUUUGGAACAGAUUUAAGAAUACUGGAUUCUGGCGUCAAUUAACGGUCCGAGAAGGAAGAUUAUCAGAGAAAGAUGCUGAUGUUGAAAACCCUGAAGGGAACUUAUCAGAGGUCAUGCUUAUUGUUCAGGUUUGCUCCACUGGCUUUGAAGAUGAAGAAAUGAACGGUGAACUUGCAAAGUUGGCUGUUGAAUUUGCUUUUGAAGCUGAAGCAAAUUAUUUGCCUUUCACGGUUUUGGUUCCUCAGUAUUACCAAGGAAUAUCAAGUGUUGCGCUAGCGGAUGCUCCAUUGCGUGUUUUUUUCUGUUUAAGACGUGAAAGUAGCUCUGAAGUGGAGACAGCCAAGAACAUGGUCGAAGGAAGAAUUCAUGAUCAUAUAAGCAAUCUUCGUUUCUCCAUAUCACCAACAGCAUUUUUCCAAGUUUGGACCUCAGAUUUUAUACCUGUCUUGCAUGACUGAAAAUUUUUGCUGGUGCCAUAGGAUAUUUUACAUCUGUAACAAUACUACAGGUUAACACACUAGCUGCAGAGAAACUGUAUUCACUUGCUGGAGAUUGGGCUGGUUUGGGUCCUGACACCUUGCUGUUUUGAUGUAUGCUGUGGGACUGGAACAAUUAGGCUCACUUUAGCACAUCGAGUUGGGAUGGUUGUUGGAAUUGAAAUGAAUGCUUCUGCAGUUUCAGAUGCUCACUGGAAUGCUGAAAUUAAUGGCAUAAAAAACUGUAGAUUUGUUUGUGGAAAGGCAGAGAAUGUGAUGGCAUCUUUAUUGAAGGAGUACUUAAAUGGGCCUCAGAGACAAGAUGAGCCAAAUUCUUGUGAAAGGAAUAAGAAUGACCUUACUACAGACAAAAAUAAAGUUACUCUUGUGGAUAAUGUGCUAGACGAUAAUGAUAACUCAAGCCAUAAGCUUGAUGAUUGUAAAGGUGCUUCUGGCUGUCCAGAAAAUGGUGGACAAGAACACCAAAGCAAACUUCAGAAGAGUUGUUCCUCAGAAGAUGGGAGUUCAUCCAUCCCACAAUUUAAAAAUAUUGUUGCUAUUGUUGAUCCUCCCUGUAGCUGACUUCAUCCCAUUGUGAGUAUCGCCCUGGUAUUAUGUAAGCAUUGCUUUUGGUACCGCAGGUCUGGCACUAUCGAAGUUGACAUGGUUUUUAUUUUAUUCGUUAAUCAUGGAAAGCUACUUAUAGUCCAUCAAUCAUGGUUCUUAUAUUAAUCCAACCCAGCCUUUCAUUUUCGAACUCAAAUUCUUUUGCAAUCUGGAAUUGAUCUUGGAGUUUAUAACUGCAAGUUGCAACAUAGCUACAUUAGUGAGUUUCUCCCAUCUGAGAUUUGUGGUUCAAAUAAUGCUCAAUUGUGUAUCUGAAAUUCCCUCUGAAUCCUUGGUAGUGAUCAUCACUAAUAGAGUGUAAUAUGAGAUUCCUCAAAACUCGUGGUUUUCUUGUAUUCCUCAGCAGUUUUGCCCAAGUGGUGCCCUGCUCUGAAUGGGAGAUAAAUGUUGAAUUUCCAACCUGCUAAUUUAUGCCCUUCGAAACAUUAGAAGCUUAAUACUAAUGGUUAGUAUUUGUUCAAAAUGCAGUUGAUCAAAGUUCUGAGAACUCAUUCACAUCUACGUCGACUUGUGUUAGUUCCAUGUUCUACUUCCCUUAUUAUUUUGGUUAAUACAUACAGUUCAGUGCUAUUCUAACUUCACUGGUUUGGUGUUUUGUAGUUAUAUUUCCUGUAAUCCCGAAACCUUAGUAGCAAAUGCUAUUGAGCUGUGCACACCAUCACCCAAUAAAAUAGAGAAAGGGAAUAAAAAUAACCGGGGAUGGAGAAACAUGAGCAGCGCUGGUUUGGCACGCCACAGAGCGAAGUCUAUGCCCAUUUCAGAACCUUUUCGACCUGUAAAAGCUAUGGCUGUUGACCUCUUCCCACAUACCACACACUGUGAAAUGGUGAUGCUCCUUGAGAGGUAACUAGGCCAUUCACACAUCCUAUUAUUUGUUCCGCAGCAAAGAAUUGACGAAAGUUCAGUCAAGUUACAUUUAAAUUUUGAUAGAUAGGUUCU
rnacentral:misc_RNA from 1 species